GACGAACGCUGGCGGCGUGCUUAACACAUGCAAGUCGAACGAAGUGGCGAACGGGUGAGUAACGCGUAAUCAACCUGCCCUUCAGCGGGGGACAACAGUUGGAAACGACUGCUAAUACCGCAUAAUGAAGGAGGGGAUUGCGGCUGAUUGGCUAGCUGGGGGGGUAACGGCCCACCAAGGGGAUGAUCAGUAGCCGGUCUGAGAGGAUGAACGGCCAAAUUGGGAAUGAGACACGGCCCAGACUCCUACGGGAGGCAGCAGUGGGGAAUCUUCCGCAAUGGACGAAAGUCUGACGGAGCAACGCCGCGUGAGUGAUGACGGCCUUCGGGUUGUAAAGCUCUGUUAAUCGGGACGCGGUACCGGAAUAGAAAGCCACGGCUAACUACGUGCCAGCAGCCGCGGUAAUAC
rnacentral:rRNA from 1 species